rnacentral:tRNA from 1 species
GUUUCCGUAGUGUAGUGGUUAUCAUGUGUGCCUAACACGCAAAAGGUCCCCAGUUAUAAACUGGGCGGAAACA